AACGAAUGCUGGCGGCAUGCCUAACACAUGCAAGUCGAACGAGACCUUCGGGUCUAGUGGCGCACGGGUGCGUAACGCGUGGGAACCUGCCCUUAGGUUCGGAAUAACUCCCCGAAAGGGGUGCUAAUACCGGAUAAUGUCUUCGGACCAAAGAUUUAUCGCCUUUGGAUGGGCCCGCGUUGGAUUAGCUAGUUGGUAGGGUAAAAGCCUACCAAGGCGACGAUCCAUAGCUGGUCUGAGAGGAUGAUCAGCCACACUGGGACUGAGACACGGCCCAGACCCUACGGGGGGGGGGGGUGGGGGAUAUUGGGGAAUGGGGCGAAGGCUGAUCCCGCAAUGGCGCGUGAGUGGUGAAGGCCUUAGGGUUGUAAAGCUCUUUUACCCGGGAUGAUAAUGACAGUACCGGGAGAAUAAGCUCCGGCUAACUCCGUG
rnacentral:rRNA from 1 species